rnacentral:miRNA from 1 species
UGCAGCCAGCUCUUCCCCUAG